rnacentral:lncRNA from 1 species
CAAUUUUUUUACAACCUGCAUCACAUCUUGACCAUGACAUAUUUUUCUCCCCUAGGUGAAUGGAACAGAGAAAAAGACAGGAGGGCCCUGCUUCAAGAUCCUGGUUGAUUAAUCCAGGAGAAAUAUCCCUUCUAAAUUCCAGUGGCUCCCUAUUCCUUCAAGGAUCAAAUAUAAAAUUUGUACUGUUCGGCUUUCAAACUCCUAUAAAACCUGACCAUUUCCUAUCUUUUCAGAAUUCUUAUACCUUGCUCCCCCAUCUUGGAUUAUACAGGCAAAUGACAGUCCUCCUUCCUUGCUAUUUCUCUCACAAGACACUCAAUGCAUUUUCAUUGGCUGCCCC